rnacentral:rRNA from 1 species
GAUGAACGCUGGCGGCGUGCCUAAUACAUGCAAGUCGAGCGAACGGACGAGAAGCUUGCUUCUCUGAUGUUAGCGGCGGACGGGUGAGUAACACGUGGAUAACCUACCUAUAAGACUGGGAUAACUUCGGGAAACCGGAGCUAAUACCGGAUAAUAUUUUGAACCGCAUGGUUCAAAAGUGAAAGACGGUCUUGCUGUCACUAUAGAUGGAUCCGCGCUGCAUUAGCUAGUUGGUAAGGUAACGGCUUACCAAGGCAAAGAUGCAUAGCCGACCUGAGAGGGUGAUCGGCCACACUGGAACUGAGACACGCUCCAGACUCCUACGGGAGGCAGCAGUAGGGAAUCUUCCGCAAUGGGCGAAAGCCUGACGGAGCAACGCCGCGUGAGUGAUGAAGGUCUUCGGAUCGUAAACCUCUGUUAUUAGGGACGAACAUAUGUGUAAGUAACCGUGCACAUAUUGACGGUACCUAAUCAGAAAGCCACGGCUAACUACGUG